UACGUAGGUGGCAAGCGUUAUCCGGAAUUAUUGGGCGUAAAGAGUGAGCAGGCGGUUGUCUAAGUCUGGAGUCAAAUGCUGUGGCUUAACCACAGUUCGCUUCAGAAACUAGUCGACUAGAGUGCGAGAGAAGUUUGUGGAAUUCCAUGUGUAGCGGUGAAAUGCGUAGAUAUAUGGAGGAACACCAGUGGCGAAGGCGGCAAACUAGCUCGUAACUGACGCUCAUUCACGAAAGCGUGGGUAGCAAAUAGG
rnacentral:rRNA from 1 species